AUAUCAAAAUAUAGUUAAUGUAUCAUCUUUGAGAAUAUAAUUAAGAAAAUAACUUAUUAAUUAAUUUAUUAUAAUAUAAUAAUAUGAUUAAACAUAAAAAUACUUUAAUUUUAUAUCUACAUGUCAAUUCUUGUUACUUAUACAUCAGAAUAACAUAUAAGAAGCUUUCAAUGUCCUCAGUUAUAUAUAUCCUAUUCUAUGUUAAAAUUAAUUUGUAAUUGUAUUUAAUUAUAACAUUAUUUAAUGUGCCAUAACCGCAAUCUUUUUAAUCCAUUUCCUUUUGUCGGAUUAAGAAGAGAAAAUGCUGCGCGAUCCAUGAAUACCAUAGAUUUAACCGGAACAACAAAAUAAAAUUUCUAAAAAAAAAGAAGAAAAAGAGUAUCCUAUGCUGCCUGACAAGAUACAAGAAAAUAAAAUAAAACAAAACGCCCACCGUGGGGCUCGAACCCACGACCACAAGGUUAAGAGCCUUGCGCUCUACCAACUGAGCUAGACGGGCUGGCUGAACAAUUAUUGCAUAUAUUGCUAAUAAUAAAAAAUCAUUGCGGCUCCCCUUAAUAAAUGAUCCCUUUGGAGCUCUUCUAUAUAAAUUGAAAACACAUCAUGCCCGAUUCAACUCAAGACAUUAUAGUUUUUUUUUUUUUUUUCUUUUUGAAUCAAACAGCAAGAAUUCCAUUAAACAAGCAGGUCUAACUCAGUUCUAGACUCCCAAAUGUUAGCCCAGAAUCUGAUGAGUUCAGUUAGUUUUACUGAUGUUGCUAGGUAGAUGAAGUUUUCUGUACUGAUGCCAUAGAACAGAUAUUAUGGCUAAAAGCCAACUGUGAUUUGUAAUUUUAUUAUCCAUCCGAAUGAAAUGCAGUUAUCUCUAAAAAUUAAAAAAUUUGGAAAAAAAAAAAAAAAAAAAAGCAGGUCUAACUGCAACACGUUACAAAUAAAAGGAGGAGGAUUAGACCUCCAAACGACGACAUCAGACACGGAAUCAGUUGCUCUACAGCCAACUAACUCAUGGGCGGCAAGAUUCGGUGAUCUCUAGAAAAAAGAAACAAGACAAGUUCAAAGCCUUACAGUCAUUGAUAACUAAACUAAACUCAGAGCUUCAGCAACUUCUGGGACUAAAGGACCGACAGGCACUCCGUGAGCAGCAGCCACAGACCCACCUCCGGAAUUUCGCAGAACACAUCCAAAACCAAGCGUACCUGACUGGUUAAACAAAGCAGCAUCGACAUUACAUUUUAAACAACCUUGUUGUGUGGCUUCUGCCAUUUGAUUGCGCCGUCAUUUGCUGUAACUCCCCAGUUAACAACCUCUGCCACUUGAGCUGAUUGCCAUUGGAACAGAUAGGUGCUAACAACUUGGGUUUCAGAGUUACCUUGCGGAUCCAAACAAUAUCAUUCCGACAAAGCCCACGUAAUCAUAGCAGCUAAGCUCUUAUUCUCUGUUGAGGAGCUUGCCCAAAUUUCUGACAGCCAUUUCGCAACAGUUGAAACAUUGUAUCUGCAAAAUAUAUAAUAGUUUUGUAUAUAUAAUUGAAUUAAGUUUAAUUGAAACAGGUACCAUCAGAAUGAUCUUAUA